rnacentral:rRNA from 1 species
UACGGGGGGAGCAAACGUUGUUCGGAAUCACUGGGCGUAAAGGGCGUGUAGGCGGCUGGAUAAGUGGGAUGUUAAAUCCCCCGGCUCAACCGGGGACCUGCAUCUCAUACUGUUCAGCUCGAGCACAUCAGAGGAGACUGGAAUUCCCGGUGUAGCGGUGAAAUGCGCAGAUAUCGGGAAGAACACCCGUGGCGAAGGCGGCUCUCUGGGACGGUACUGACGCUGAGACGCGAAAGCGUGGGGAGCGAACAGG